GGGGGUGGGAGGGGGGUCGCGGGAGAACCUGAAGGGGGCAGGGCAGAAGGGACCCCCGGAGCCCUGCCGCCAUCAGAGAUCAAGAAUUUGGCAUCAGGGAUCUUCGGACCCAGCAGAAGGAUCAGCCACAAGGGAGGUGUUCUCCCUAGGAAGCCAACAAGAGAGUCACCUGCCCCACAUCAGGAGCAGGGACCCCUCAUGUCGCUGCUGGCAACCAAAUCAGGCCCCUAGCCCCUCAGCCUCCUUCCUAUUGCCUUCCUCUGACUCUCUCCUCGUCUCCUUUGGCAUUUGCGCCUUUCUCCCGCUCUCUGAGCUCCAGCACUUCUGCUACCACCCAAACGCCCCAGGGCUUAGCUGCCCUGACCCCCAUCCUGGGAUAUUUGCCAGAUCUCUGGGAGAGAGAUCAUUUGUUUGGGCUAUGCCCCCGGGUGGCCUGACAGUGGCUGCCUAGACCCCUGACCCCUAGCCUCAACUCCCCAGGCCUCCUUUGUGUGACAAGCCCUCCUCUGAUCAGCACUGUGGUUGGGGGCCAAAGGGAAAGCCGGCCCUGCUGGGCCCUUGGGCCCCACCACCUGCCUACUCCUGGUUGGGCAGCUUCCCUUGUCUUUGGGCCUCUCCCUGCUCCCCCUGGCCCCUCCUCCUGGGCCGCCCCAAUGAAGGAGCCGGAUGCCAUCAAGCUGUUUGUGGGGCAGAUCCCGAGGCAUCUGGAGGAAAAGGACCUGAAGCCCAUCUUCGAGCAGUUUGGUCGGAUCUUCGAGCUGACUGUCAUCAAGGACAAGUACACCGGGCUGCACAAGGGAUGUGCCUUCCUGACAUACUGUGCCCGCGAUUCAGCCCUGAAGGCCCAGAGUGCCCUGCACGAACAGAAGACUCUCCCAGGGAUGAACAGGCCGAUCCAGGUCAAGCCAGCCGACAGCGAGAGUCGAGGAGAAGAUCGGAAGCUCUUUGUGGGGAUGCUAGGAAAGCAGCAGACAGAUGAGGACGUCCGGAAGAUGUUUGAACCAUUUGGGACCAUAGAUGAGUGCACUGUGCUCCGGGGGCCAGAUGGUACCAGCAAAGGCUGUGCUUUUGUGAAGUUCCAGACUCACGCUGAGGCCCAGGCAGCCAUCAACACCCUCCACAGCAGCCGGACCCUGCCGGGUGCCUCAUCCAGCCUGGUGGUAAAGUUUGCUGACACAGAGAAGGAGCGAGGUCUCCGCCGAAUGCAGCAGGUGGCUACCCAGCUGGGCAUGUUCAGCCCUAUCGCCCUCCAGUUUGGAGCCUACAGCGCUUACACCCAGGCCCUGAUGCAGCAGCAGGCAGCCCUGGUAGCAGCUCACAGUGCCUACCUCAGCCCUAUGGCCACCAUGGCUGCCGUGCAGAUGCAGCACAUGGCUGCCAUCAAUGCCAACGGCCUCAUUGCCACCCCCAUCACUCCAUCCUCAGGAACCAGCACCCCCCCUGCCAUUGCUGCCACGCCCGUCUCUGCCAUCCCUGCUGCCUUGGGCGUCAACGGCUAUAGCCCGGUGCCCACCCAGCCCACAGGGCAGCCUGCCCCUGAUGCUCUGUAUCCCAACGGGGUUCACCCUUACCCAGCCCAGAGCCCUGCUGCCCCCGUGGAUCCUCUCCAGCAGGCCUAUGCAGGAAUGCAGCACUAUACAGCCUUUUCUGUUUUCACCACCCCAGCAGCCUAUCCUGCAGCCUACAGCCUGGUUGCACCUGCAUUCCCGCAGCCUCCAGCCCUGGUCGCCCAGCAGCCCCCACCACCACCUCAGCAACAGCAGCAGCAGCAGCAGCAACAGCAGCAGCAGCAACGGGAAGGCCCAGAUGGCUGCAACAUCUUCAUCUACCACCUGCCCCAGGAGUUCACGGACUCAGAGAUCCUUCAGAUGUUUGUCCCCUUUGGUCAUGUCAUCUCAGCCAAAGUCUUUGUUGACCGGGCCACCAAUCAGAGCAAAUGUUUUGGCUUUGUGAGUUUCGACAAUCCGGCCAGUGCCCAGGCUGCCAUCCAGGCUAUGAAUGGUUUCCAGAUUGGCAUGAAGCGCCUCAAAGUCCAGCUAAAGCGGCCUAAGGAUGCAAACAGGCCCUACUAAGGGCUGCAGCCCAGGGUCCGUGUCCAUUGUCGGCUGAAGCCCCCAUCCCGGACCCCUGCUCCGGGCCCCUGUCUGGAGACACCAGAGAAAGGGGCACUUGACACUCUCUUCCCUGACUGGCCCUGGCCUUCUCUGCACAUCGGCCCUGGGCCUUGAUUGGACUCUGGGGCAAAAGCUGCUUCGUGGCCCUAAGGGCCCAGGACCUGGCUCACUCCCACCACCUUGCCUCUCUGAAGGGCCAUGGUUUUGCUUCCCUGGCUCCAAGAGCCUAUUCCCUCCCCAGUGCCCUUUUGGCCUUUGUGAGGAAGCAAGGAAUAGGCUCUAAGGUUCAGGGGUAUCUGCCUUCUGCUAAGGCUCCCAAGUCG